rnacentral:rRNA from 1 species
UAAUACGAAUGUGGCAAGCGUUGUUCGGAAUCACUGGGCGUAAAGAGUACGUAGGCGGCUUGAUAAGUCAGGAGUGAAAUCCCAGGGCUCAACCCUGGAACUGCUCUUGAAACUAUCUGGCUAGAAGCUCGGAGAGGUUGGCGGAAUUCCCAGUGUAGAGGUGAAAUUCGCAGAUAUUGGGAGGAACACCAGUGGCGUAAGCGGCCAACUGGACGAGCAUUGACGCUGAGGUACGAAAGCGUGGGGAUCAAACAGG